rnacentral:lncRNA from 1 species
AAUCAUUUCUACUGUAUAACAAGUAUGAAUUUUUCACAAUCACUAUGAUGAGACUGUAGGGACUUUAUUUUAGGAUUACAGAAGAGCUCAUGAAUCUCUUAGAUACAUAAUUAGAAGGCUCCUGAUCUCUUGAAAUCGUCAGAUUUCUUCCAUUUUUAAUUUACAGAGAAACCGUUAUGUAGCCAAUAAGUCUAGAUAAAAUCUGAAAUAAAACCUAAGUAUCAAAAGGAAAACUGAAAGCCCUUUCCUUUAGCUCUAAUUGAAAGCAAAUAAAAUUUUGGUUAGUAGU